GGGCCGAUGCCCGAGUGGUUAAAGGGGGCGGAUUGUAAAUCCGUUGCAUUUGCUACGUUGGUUCAAAUCCAACUCGGCCCA
rnacentral:tRNA from 1 species